rnacentral:rRNA from 1 species
CAGCUAGUUGGUGAGGUAACGGCUCACCAAGGCUUCGAUCAGUAUCCGGCCUGAGAGGGCGGACGGACACACUGGGACUGAGACACGGCCCAGACUCCUACGGGAGGCAGCAGUGGGGAAUUGUUCGCAAUGGGCGCAAGCCUGACGACGCAACGCCGCGUGGAGGAUGAAGACCUUCGGGUCGUAAACUCCUUUCGAUCGAGACGAACGGCCUCCGAGUGAAUAGCCCGGAGGAAUGACGGUACCGAGAGAAGAAGCCCCGGCUAACUCCGUGCCAGCAGCCGCGGUAAUACGGGGGGGGCAAGCGUUGUUCGGAAUUACUGGGCGUAAAGGGCUUGUAGGUGGCCAACUAAGUCAGACGUGAAAAUCCCUCGGCUUAACCGGGGAACUGCGCCUGAUACUGGAUGGCUUGAGUUCGGGAGAGGGAUGCGGAAUUCCAGGUGUAGCGGUGAAAUGCGUAGA